GCACCCAUCGCAACGCUUGCAUCCCACAGCUAUUCAUUCGUUUGCAGCGUUUUUGUUUCUUGCCCCGUUGUGGAGACAUGUCUUUGACACCACCACCUCAGUCUGACAGAUGAGGAAACGAAGACGCUAGGGGUUAAAGGACUCGCUCAAGGUGAGCCGGACUGCAAACCGCAAAGGCAGGACCAGAAUCCAGAUCUGUCCAUGCCAAGGCCGGUCCGGAGCUUCCAGCUCACAGCCAGGAGGAUGGGGAGGGUCCAGAAGGGCCCGCACAAAGGGUGAGCACCCACUCCGUGUUCAGGAGCCUUGCGGGCCCUGAAGGUGCCACCGCGCGCGUGCCUGUCCGGGUGAGCGAGGCAGCGUGCCCAGCGAUUUUCACACGCGGCCUCCUUCUCUCUUUGCAAGGAUCUUAUGAACGGGGGGUGUGCAACUGCCUCCUCUUGGUUUCCGGCGGAGAAAGGGAAGCCCAGAGAAGGUAUUUAAAAAUCUAUUCAAGCUUAUUUUUUAAAAAGUUACCGACAGACUCAAGAGCCACUAAGCACAGAUUUUCCAAGUGAACCUGUGUUUACUGCAGAAAAAUAGAAGAGACAGAAAAUGUACUCGGAUUCACAGAUUCUGGAAGAAUAACACGCAGCAGACACAGCCUCUCGUCAGCUGGUCCCUCAUGAUCAGGAGGCUACUCUAUCCCCUACCCACUGGAACUCAGGACAGAUAUUGAAACAUGUUCUCUUUCUGAACACACCUUGGUUCAUCCUCCAGGAAGCUUAUCUUUCCAUGGCUCCCAAGUACUACAGAGGGCGGUGCUAAGGGACAAAAGCCGACUCUUCACACACCUUCUGAUAGCACUGCUCCUGGUAGGUAUGGAGAAGGCAGGAGAUAGCUGGUCCUCACACAGCCAUCCCUGGCAGUAUUGAAGUUUAAGGUUUGUGAGAACAAAACCAUUGCAAAAAAGCUCCUAGGGUUCUGUGGAGAAAGUGCCCAUAACUUAGAACAAGCAGAGCUCAUACAAACUGACUUCAGGUAUGGACAGGUACUUCUGUUUUUAUACAGCAAGGGGGACAAGGGUGGUGGUUCUUCAAUGUAGGCCACUUUGUUUUUUCUUUAAAGAUUUGCCUGGGGGUGCCUGGGUGGCUCAGUCGGUUAAGCAUCCGACUUCGGCUCAGGUCAUGAUCUCGCAGUUUGUGAGUUUGAGCCCUGCGUCGGGCUCUG